rnacentral:rRNA from 1 species
UACAGAGGGGGCAAGCGUUGUUCGGAAUUACUGGGCGUAAAGGGCGCGUAGGCGGCCUUCUAAGUCGAACGUGAAAUCCCCGGGCUCAACCCGGGAACUGCGUCCGAGACUGGGAGGCUUGAAUCCGGGAGAGGGAUGCGGAAUUCCUGGUGUAGCGGUGAAAUGCGCAGAUAUCAGGAGGAACACCGGUGGCGAAGGCGGUUCUCUGGGCCUUACCUGACGCUGAGGAGCGAAAGCGUGGGGAGCGAACAGG